rnacentral:tRNA from 1 species
UCCCUGGUGGCUCAGACGGUAAAGUGUCUGCCUGCAAUGCGGGAGACCCAGGUUUGAUUCCUGGGUCGGGAA